rnacentral:rRNA from 1 species
ACUUAAAUUGAAGAGUUUGAUCAUGGCUCAGAUUGAACGCUGGCGGCAGGCCUAACACAUGCAAGUCGAGCGGAAACGGCAGCAUUGAAGCAUCGGUGGAUUUGCUGGACGUCGAGCGGCGGACGGGUGAGUAACGGCUGGGAACCUGCCCUAGAG